rnacentral:rRNA from 1 species
AGGAAUAUUGGUCAAUGGACGAGAGUCUGAACCAGCCAAGUAGCGUGAAGGAUGACUGCCUAUGGGUUGUAAACUUCUUUUAUACGGGAAUAAGUGAGGCACGUGUGCCUUUUUGUAUGUACCGUAUGAAUAAGGAUCGGCUAACUCCGUGCCAGCAGCCGCGGUAAUACGGAGGAUCCGAGCGUUAUCCGGAUUUAUUGGGUUUAAAGGGAGCGUAGGCGGACGCUUAAGUCAGUUGUGAAAGUUUGCGGCUCAACCGUAAAAUUGCAGUUGAUACUGGGUGUCUUGAGUACAGUAGAGGCAGGCGGAAUUCGUGGUGUAGCGGUGAAAUGCUUAGAUAUCACGAAGAACUCCGAUUGCGAAGGCAGCCUGCUGGACUGUAACUGACGCUGAUGCUC